rnacentral:rRNA from 1 species
CCUACGGGAGGCAGCAGUGGGGAAUUUUGGACAAUGGGGGCAACCCUGAUCCAGCCAUGCCGCGUGCGGGAAGAAGGCCUUCGGGUUGUAAACCGCUUUUGUCAGGAGAGAAAUCUCUUGGGCUAAUACCCUGAGAGGAUGACGGUACCUGAAGAAUAAGCACCGGCUAACUACGUGCCAGCAGCCGCGGUAAUACGUAGGGUGCAAGCGUUAAUCGGAAUGACUGGAGGUGAAUGUGCAAGACGCGGGUGAAAUCCCCAGGCUUAACCUGGGAACUGCACUUGUGACUGCACGGCUAGAGUACGGCAGAGGGGGAUGGAAUUCCGCGUGUAGCAGUGAAAUGCGUAGAUAUGCGGAGGAACACCGAUGGCGAAGGCAGUCCCCUGGGCCUGUACUGACGCUCAUGCACGAAAGCGUGGGGAGCAAACAGGAUUAGAAACCCGAGUAGUC